rnacentral:rRNA from 1 species
UACGGAGGGAGCUAGCGUUGUUCGGAAUUUCUGGGCGUAAAGCGCACGUAGGCGGGUUUUUAAGUCAGGGGUGAAAUCCUGGAGCUCAACUCCAGAACUGCCUUUGAUACUGAAGAUCUUGAGUCCGGGAGAGGUGAGUGGAACUGCGAGUGUAGAGGUGAAAUUCGUAGAUAUUCGCAAGAACACCAGUGGCGAAGGCGGCUCACUGGCCCGGUACUGACGCUGAGGCACGAAAGCGUGGGGAGCAAACAGG